rnacentral:rRNA from 1 species
UACAGAGGUCUCAAGCGUUUGUUCGGAUUCAUUGGGCGUAAAGGGGUGCGUAGGUGGCGCUGUAAGUCGGGUGUGAAAUUUCGGAGCUUAACUCCGAAACUGCAUUCGAUACUGCGGUGCUUUGAGGACUGGAGAGGAGACUGGAAUUUAUGGUGUAGCAGUGAAAUGCGUAGAGAUCAUAAGGAAGACCAGUGGCGAAGGCGGGUCUCUGGACAGUUCCUGACACUGAGGCACGAAGGCCCAGGGGGAGCAAACAGG